GAUGAAGAACGUAGCGAAAUGCGAUAAGUAGUGUGAAUUGCAGAAUUCAGUGAAUCAUCGAAUCUUUGAACGCACAUUGCGCCCCUUGGUAUUCCAUGGGGCAUGCCUGUUCGAGCGUCAUUUGUACCUUCAAGCUUUGCUUGGUGUUGGGUGUUUGUCUCGCCUUUGCGUGUAGACUCGCCUUAAAAUAAUUGGCAGCCGGCGUAUUGAUUUCGGAGCGCAGUACAUCUCGCGCUUUGCACUCAUAACGACAGCGUCCAAAAGUACAUUUUACACUCUUGACCUCGGAUCAGGUAGGGAUAUCCGCUGAACUUAAGCAUAUCAAUAAGCGGAGGA
rnacentral:misc_RNA from 1 species